CCUACGGGUGGCAGCAGUGAGGAAUAUUGGUCAAUGGGCGUAAGUCUGAACCAGCCAAGUCGCGUGAGGGAUGACGGUUCUAUGGAUCGUAAACCUCUUUUAUAAGGGAAUAAAGUGCGGGACGUUUCCCUUUUUGUAUGUACCUUAUGAAUAAGGAUCGGCUACCUCCGUGCCAGCAGCCGCGGUAAUACGGAGGAUCCUAGCUUUAUCCGGAUUUAUUGGGUUUAAAGGGUGCGUAGGCGGCCUUUUAAGUCAGAGGUGAAAGCCUGUGGCUCAACCAGAGAAUUGCCGCUGAAACUGGGCGGCUUGAGUAUGUUUGAGGCAGGCGGAAUGCAUGGUGUAGCGGUGAAAUGCUUAGAUAUCACGCAGAACCCCGAUUGCGAAGGCAGCUUGCCAAGCCAUGACUGACGCUGAGGCACGAAAGCGUGGGGAGCAAACAGGAUUAGAUACCCUUGUAGUC
rnacentral:rRNA from 1 species